UACGUAGGGGGCAAGCGUUGUCCGGAUUUAUUGGGCGUUAAAGAGCGUGUAGGCGGUCUGGUAGGUCCGUUGUGAAAACUCGAGGCUCAACCUCGAGACGCCGAUGGAAACCAUCAGACUAGAGUCCGGAAGAGGAGAGUGGAAUUCCUGGUCGUAGCGGUGAAAUGCGCAGAUAUCAGGAAGAACACCCGUGGCUAAGGCGGCUCUCUAGUACGGUACUGACGCUGAGACGCGAAAGCGUGGGGAGCGAACAGG
rnacentral:rRNA from 1 species